rnacentral:rRNA from 1 species
UACGUAGGGUGCGAGCGUUGUCCGGAAUUACUGGGCGUAAAGAGCUUGUAGGUGGUUUGUCGCGUUGUUCGUGAAAACUCACAGCUCAACUGUGGGCGUGCGGGCGAUACGGGCAGACUAGAGUACUGCAGGGGAGACUGGAAUUCCUGGUGUAGCGGUGGAAUGCGCAGAUAUCAGGAGGAACACCGGUGGCGAAGGCGGGUCUCUGGGCAGUAACUGACGCUGAGACGCGAAAGCGUGGGGAGCGAACAGG